rnacentral:rRNA from 1 species
GAUGAACGCUGGCGGCGUGCCUAAUACAUGCAAGUCGAGCGAACAGACGAGGAGCUUGCUCCUCUGACGUUAGCGGCGGACGGGUGAGUAACACGUGUAUAACCUACCUAUAAGACUGGGAUAACUUCGGGAAACCGGAGCUAAUACCGGAUAAUAUAUUGAACCGCAUGGUUCAAUAGUGAAAGACGGUUUUGCUGUCACUUAUAGAUGGAUCCGCGCCGCAUUAGCUAGUUGGUAAGGUAACGGCUUACCAAGGCAACGAUGCGUAGCCGACCUGAGAGAGGGAUAGCCCACACUGGAACGGAGCCACGGUCCAGACUCCUACGGGAGGCAGCAGUAGGGAAUCUUCCGCAAUGGGCGAAAGCCUGACGGAGCAACGCCGAGUGAGUGAUGAAGGUCUUCGGAUCGUAAAACUCUGUUAUUAGGGAAGAACAAAUGUGUAAGUAACUAUGCACGUAUUGACGGUAACUAAUCAGAAAGCAACGGCUAACUACGUG